rnacentral:rRNA from 1 species
CUCGUAGGUGGCCAACUAAGUCAGACGUGAAAUCCCUCGGCUUAACCGGGGAACUGCGUCUGAUACUGGAUGGCUUGAGUUUGGGAGAGGGAUGCGGAAUUCCAGGUGUAGCGGUGAAAUGCGUAGAUAUCUGGAGGAGCACCGGUGGCGAAGGCGGCAUCCUGGACCAACACUGACACUGAGGAGCGAAAGCCAGGGGAGCAAACG